UCAAUAAAGAGUGGUUAGGGUUGUUUCUAUCUUUCUUUCUCUUUCUUCCUCCUCCACCCCAACUUCUUUAGAAUACAUCUGAAACCGGCCAGGAAGUUCAUUGCCGCCUCCGAUUGUUAAUGGAAGGGCAUGGUGUGAUGGAUAUCUGCUUUUGUUAAUGGGAGAAACGUGGUGUUUCUGUUUGGUUAGAAAGAAAAACGUACAGUAAUGUUGCUAAUCUUGUAAUUUAACGUUUUAUAACCUGCGACUUUAUUUAGUUCUCUUCAUUUACAUCUAAAAUGAACAUUUUUUUUUCUUCAAUUCUUAUUCCGAUGAACACACCGGAGAGAUCUAGUAACUGGACUUGUACUGAUUGGAUUCUGUAGAGUCUGUCCCUUUAUGGAUUGGGGAUUGAUUCUUCUUCUACUGAUCUUACUCAUCUCUAAGUCUCCAGAUCGAAUACUACUACUGGUAAUUUAUGUUGGGUGAUUUUCGUUUUCCUAAGAAAAUCCUUGAGUAUAAAGCUGAAGCUUGUAUAGAACCAAGUUCAGGCUCGGAACCAGAAGAAUAAGUAAUCUUUACUGUGCCUACUCUCUGGGUAUUCAUUUUAUUCGAUAUUAUACUUUAUAUUAUUUCGAAUUAUUCAAUACUGUUUUUCUUAUUUUGAUUGAAACUUUUUGCUUUUCUAAGAUUAUGAGUCCAUCUGAUAUUAGUUUGCAACUUUUAUUAGAGUCGUGUAAUUUGGAUGAAACAAAAUAUAUUAAGGUCAUGUAUUUAUGUUGAUGUUUGCAUGUUAUGGUUACAAUGUCUACUAGCUGCCUGUGUCAGGAUCUAAAAGUAAAAAAAUUAUUUCAGAAACAUAUUGUUGACCAAAUCAAAUAGAAGAUGCAAACAAGUGGAUUACAUCUUCCAAGAAGUUCGCCUAGUCUAUCUUCAAAUGGGGUGCGAUAGAACAAAGCUUCAUGGUUAUCCAGCUAUUCCAAUAGGAAUACGGAAUCGGCAAUUUGCUGCUAAUUAAAUGGUUAAAUCAGUUUCAAUGGGUAUAAAGAUGAUGUGCUAUGUUUCCACUAAGAUAAAUUCAUCCAAGAGAAGAGACCAGAGUUCACGGCUGAAGGAUCUAGAAAUUGACAUAAUGUUAAGAAUGGAGAUAAUUGUGCAUUUAUGGGAAAAGUGGAUUUUGCACUUCAAUCAUGUAGAGGCUGGUGAAUAUGAAGAACACACCUCAACAUAUAUGCAUACACUACCGAAAGAGCAAUGCAUGAAAACAGAUUAUGACGAUUGUGUUUGGUGGCUUGCACUUCAACCGUGUGCUUUCAAAGGUCAGGAUGACUCAAAAACAGGGACGGACUUAGCCCUCCCGGUCCACAAGCCUAAUUUUUCCCAUUUUUUGGUUAAUCAUGUGUAUUAGUCCGGGUCUAAAAUGAAAAAUCCGGAUCCGUCCCUGCUCAAAAACAUCAACGGAAUUGUGGUAAUUUUAUUGAGAUGGUGCAGUAUUCAGCCACAUCCAGUGAGAAGGUGAACGAGGCUAUCUUAGAAACUGCUCGCCGAGAUGGUACUUAUACCUCGCCUCUUACUUACUCGAAGAGAUAUUUUGAAUAUAAUUUCUAGUAAAAUCAGAAAUAAGAUAAGUGAGGAAGUUGAAUAUGAGAAACAUUGUAUAUUUGAUGAGUCAUUUGAUGCGUCCAAGAAAGGGCGAACUGGGAUCAUUUAAAGCCUUACGCGAUCUGCUCAUGAAAAUGAAUUUAACGAAAGUUUGGCUGCUGGUGAACUUUAAGACAGGUAAAUAGGCUUAUUAAAUAAGUACGUGGUCGCGAUACUGGUUGGAGUUCUCAUUAUAGUUUUGUAUGCAAUGUGGCGUAACUUUUACAACUAAUUAACAUACUAGUAACUGUGAUCCGAACGAGUCAUGUUCUUUUAGCAAACCAUUUGAUAUUUUUGAUGCUAUAAUUAAUUUUUUAGUUGUGGUCCUUGGUAAUCUUACGAUUGAUAAAGGAGAAACUAAUACUAGCGGGUUGAUACCAAUCCAAAAAUUGAUAAAGGGGAUACUAGUAUUAGUGGCAUUGAUAUCAAUCCAGAAAUCCAGUGACCAGGAUUAUUGUGUUUUAUAUGGAUUGGUAUCCCCUUUAUAAUUAUGAAUUUUUUUUUAGAAUUUUAAUUUAUUAAGUGACAUCCUUAUAUUUAGUUUUUGGAGAGUUUGGUGCUUACCUGCGAAAAUGAGAGCUAUCCAUUUUUAUCAUGAGGUGUCAUGGAGAGAUGGUCUAAUGCCACACAAAAGGGCCCCCUUGUUAAUCUCAAUCCAGGGGAUCAAUGGGCUAAAAUCUGACACCUGAUAGGGAAAAUGGAUGGGAAAAAUCUAUGGAGGAAGUGUAGCACUGUCGACAGCUUACGAGUUUAGUCAUAGUCUUAUAUUACAUGGCUUCUCACAGGCAGGUCAGGCAACAUUGUAGCUGAUUCCCUUGGCUUUGGCUACAUUCUGGCGGACACCAGCCACUAUGGUCCAUGUAUGUAUACGUUAUUGAAUUUCUGUCACCAUGUAAGCUUUUUCCAUAAGACUUGGUUUUUCUCUUGGCUCGGCUCCAUGUCUUGUUUAUGGCCAAGGAAAAGAGCCACCAUAGCGCCUGGCCUAAGGCUUCAGACAAGGAGAGACCAAGGUCCGCCACACCAGGUUUACUUUUUUUGUUUUAGUAAGACUGCGUUUCUUUUGAAUCCCUAUUUAGCGCCUUCACAAAAGAAAACCCAGACACCAACACAAGAAAAAAAAAACACAGCUACUAAUUGUGAGUUCCUCCAUUAAGGAACAUUUGGGCUCUGCUUCUUUUACAACUCCCCUCUGAUUUUCAUCAUCAUCAACAUCUACUCUGUUCCCCCAAAUCUUUUCAGGUCAGGUGUUUAAGCAAGAACAUUUUGAGGAAUAUCUUAAAGAAAACUCAAGCGUGUCAAACACAGGUGUGCUCUAACUCACAAAGAUUGGGAUCACCAACUGAAGACAAGGAGCCGAUCACUUGUCAUUGAGCUGCGUUGGUUGGUUUUGUCGUUACUAUAUCGUCGUCUUCUUAUCAAAUUCAGCCUUACUAAUUGGACUUCGUCCAGCUUUUCAGCUGCAUUGGUUGGUUUUCUCGAGUUGUGGAAUAACUUUUCAGGAAAGAGGAGAAAGAGGAGAAAGAGAAAUUGGCAUUAGAUUAUGGUGUAGCUCUGAUGAAAUUUAUUAGCACCCAGUCAUACUCAGAGAAGCAGUUAGCGGGGGAUACCCUAUGGACCUAUUUUUACUUGAAGAAUUUGCUGAGGUGUAUGACGCUACAAUUCAUAUGAAUCAUGUUCACCAACUUGUGAGUCUUUGCUACUGCGAGGAGUCUCAGAAAGUAUAUGAAAAGUUCAUAGCGCAAAUACUAAGUGAUCUUCGAAGAGGCUUAAGAACUUACUCACCCAAGACAGUGCUAGCUCGAAUGCAAAAGCUGAAAAGUAUCUAUUUCGCUCCUGCGAAGAAUGGAUUAGGGUGGAGGAAGUUUGAGGGCAGUUGGUUGACAUUGGAUCGAUAAGCCUCAACUCAACCCAAAACAGACAGAUCUGAAUUAGCCAUGGAUCAAUGAAGUAAAAAGUUUUCUGUUAUGAUGAGUUACUAUUGUUUCUGUUCUCAAUUCAAAACUGUGGGAUUUAUAAAGUGUAAAGAUAUGGUGUAUCAUAGACUGAUUUAGGUAGCUAGUAUUUGGUUAUACUUAUAGAAGCUAGAAUCACAAGAGAUUUUUGCUCGUGACCCGCAUCAAGAAUAAUAGGUGAAAAGAGAAUUAAGAUUAAUAGCAGGGUAUGCUAAGAAGCCUUGUCUAUGUCUCUAACUCUUAGAAAUGGUUUUGUUAGAAUCCUGCUACUGCCUGGUACAUACAAAUGAUGUUGUUCAUACUAGCGUGUUUUGAUCUGCAAUUCUCUUGUUGUGGAUCAUUAGAUGUAUAGUUAUCUCUGUCUCUUGCUCUCUGAAUGUUCAUGUAUGAAUUGACGUUUUCCUAUAUUAAAGUCUGGUUUGUGCUUUUCAAAAUU